GAGAGUACAUGGGAAGUAAAAUAACGUCACUGAUUAUAGUAUUACAAUAGAAAUGGGGGGGAGUAGUGGCCAGGCAAGAAGAAACUAAGUUCAAUAUACUUCUCAGUAGGAAACCAACAGAAGGGACUGGAGUGGAUAUAUGAAAGUAUUAAUACAAAGGAAACAAAAUCAUACAAUUUCCUCAAUACCAAAAGAUCCACCAGAGUGUAUGCAGAAGAACAAAUGCAAGGGAAACAACCACACAGGGAGAGAGCACACUACUAGAAACUAGUAAGCUAUGAGAGAGAACAAAAUGAGAGUCACGUGUUCAGCAACAUCGAAUACUACUGCAGACUUCCAUCUCCCAAUCCACCACACUACUGUCUGAUUUCCUUUUAAACGUCUGAAUACAGUUUUAGAAAGAAAAAUGCUGCUGGAAUGAACAAACUCAAACUCAACGAUAUUUCAAAGCAAUGAGAUUAUUCCAACAAACAACCACUGAAUGAAUGGAAAUGUAAGAGC